CCUACGGGCGGCAGCAGUGAGGAAUAUUGGUCAAUGGACGCAAGUCUGAACCAGCCAUGCCGCGUGCAGGAAGACGGCUCUAUGAGUUGUAAACUGCUUUUGUACGAGGGUAAACUCAGAUACGCGUAUCUGUCUGCACGUACCGUACGAAUAAGGACCGGCUAACUCCGUGCCAGCAGCCGCGGUAAUACGGAGGAUUCAAGCGUUAUCCGGAUUUAUUGGGUUUAAAGGGUGCGUAGGCGGUCGGAUAAGUUAGAGGUGAAAUCCCGAGGCUCAACUUCGGAAUUGCCUCUGAUACUGUAGGGCUAGAGAGUAGUUGCGGUAGGCGGAAUGUAUGGUGUAGCGGUGAAAUGCGUAGAGAUCAUACAGAACACCGAUUGCGAAGGCAGCUUACCAAGCUACUUCUGACGUUGAGGCACGAAAGCGUGGGGAGCAAACAGGAUUAGAUACCCGGGUAGUC
rnacentral:rRNA from 1 species